UACGUAGGGUGCGAGCGUUAAUCGGAAUUACUGGGCGUAAAGCGUGCGCAGGCGGUUUUGUAAGCCAGAUGUGAAAGCCCCGGGCUUAACCUGGGAAUGGCAUUUGGGACUGCAAGGCUUGAGUGCGGCAGAGGAGACUGGAAUUCCUGGUGUAGCAGUGAAAUGCGUAGAUAUCAGGAGGAAUACCGAUGGCGAAGGCAGGUCUCUGGGCUGACACUGACGCUCAAACCCGAAAGCGUGGGGAUCAAACAGG
rnacentral:rRNA from 1 species